UACGUAGGGUGCGAGCGUUAAUCGGAAUUACUGGGCGUAAAGCGUGCGCAGGCGGUUUUGUAAGUCAGAUGUGAAAGCCCCGGGCUCAACCUGGGAACUGCGUUUGAAACUACAAGGCUAGAGUGUAGCAGAGGGGGGUAGAAUUCCACGUGUAGCAGUGAAAUGCGUAGAGAUGUGGAGGAAUACCAAUGGCGAAGGCAGCCCCCUGGGUUAACACUGACGCUCAUGCACGAAAGCGUGGGGAGCAAACAGGG
rnacentral:rRNA from 1 species